GAUGAACGCUGGCGGCGUGCUUAAUACAUGCAAGUCGAACGGAGAUUGUAGCAAUACGGUCUUAGUGGCGAACGGGUGAGUAACGCGUUAGUGACCUGCCCCGGAGUGGGGGACAACAGUUCGAAAGGACUGCUAAUACCCCAUACCUUCACGAGAUUUAGAAACUUGUGAAGAAAGGAGAAAUUCGCUUCGGGAGGGGCUUGCGUCCCAUCAGCUAGUUGGUAGGGUAACGGCCUACCAAGGCUAUGACGGGUAGGGGACCUGAGAGGGUGGACCCCCACAAUGGAACUGAAACACGGUCCAUACACCUACGGGAGGCAG
rnacentral:rRNA from 1 species